CCCUUAGAUGUCCUGGGCCGCACGCGCGUUACACUGAUGCAUUCAACGAGCUUAUAACCUUGGCCGAGAGGCCUGGGCAAUCUUGUUAACGUGCAUCGUGAUAGGGAUAGAUUAUUGAAAUUAUUAAUCUUGAACGAGGAAUUCCUAGUCAACGCAGAUCAUCAAUCUGCAUUGAUUACGUCCCUGCCCUUUGUACACACCGCCCGUCGCACCUACCGAUUGGAUGGUCCGGUGAAGCCUCGGGAUUGUGGUUCUUGCCGCUUUAUUGUGGCGUGACCGCGAGAACUUGUCUAAACCUUAUCAUCUAGAGGAAGGUGAAGUCGUAACA
rnacentral:rRNA from 1 species